rnacentral:rRNA from 1 species
ACGGGUGAGUAAUGCCUAGGAAUCUGCCUGGUAGUGGGGGGCAACGUUUCGAAAGGAACGCUAAUACCGCAUACGUCCUACGGGAGAAAGCAGGGGACCUUCGGGCCUUGCGCUAUCAGAUGAGCCUAGGUCGGAUUAGCUAGUUGGUGAGGUAAUGGCUCACCAAGGCGACGAUCCGUAACUGGUCUGAGAGGAUGAUCAGUCACACUGGAACUGAGACACGGUCCAGACUCCUACGGGAGGCAGCAGUGGGGAAUAUUGGACAAUGGGCGAAAGCCUGAUCCAGCCAUGCCGCGUGUGUGAAGAAGGUCUUCGGAUUGUAAAGCACUUUAAGUUGGGAGGAAGGGCAUUAACCUAAUACGUUAGUGUUUUGACGUUACCGACAGAAUAAGCACCGGCUAACUCUGUGCCAGCAGCCGCGGUAAUACAGAGGGUGCAAGCGUUAAUCGGAAUUACUGGGCGUAAAGCGCGCGUAGGUGGUUUGUUAAGUUGGAUGUGAAAGCCCCGGGCUCAACCUGGGAACUGCAUUCAAAACUGACAAGCUAGAGUAUGGUAGAGGGUGGUGGAAUUUCCUGUGUAGCGGU